CCCUUAGAUGUUCUGGGCUGCACGCGCGCUACACUGAAGCUAUCAACACGUUUUCCCUCCCUGAGAAGGGCGGGUAACCUUUUGAAUCAGCUUCGUGGUAGGGAUCGGGGCUUGCAAUUGUUCCCCGUGAACCAGGAAUUCCUAGUAGACGCGAGUCAUAAGCUCGCAUCGAUUAAGUCCCUGCCCUUUGUACACACCGCCCGUCGCUACUACCGAUUGAACGUUUUAGUGAGGCAUCUGGACCGACGCAUCUCAGUUUAACCGCUGGUUUGUGUUGGAAAGACUUCCAAACUUGAGCGUUUAGAGGAAGUAAAAGUCGUAACA
rnacentral:rRNA from 1 species